rnacentral:rRNA from 1 species
AUGGUCGUACUUGCUGGUUCUGGUCUGACCAUUGGCUCUAGGGACAGUCCGUUGCCGAGAUCAUGCCUACACAUCUACCCCACAGCCCACGCAGGCCGAGGCGCUGCAGAUCGGUGUGCGAUAGGAUCACCGACCGAUCCUGGAUCUGCGAUAUGCAUGAUCGAGCUUUCUGACGUGCCCGACAAGAUCUCUUGGAACUUGACCCAGAACGAGCAAUACACGAAUGGCUCCACCAUCACGCUCAAUUGGCGGCCCAUAUGGAAGUGUUGGGCACCGAUGAACGUCAAGAGCUUGAGACCAUUGAUCACCUAUUUGUCUAGUCCGUCUUCUCGAAGAUCACCUGGCAUGAGAUAUUAUCCUGGCGUCGCCUUGCCGGUUCUUCUGCCAAGCGCCGACGCGCCCUUCUUCCCGUGGUGGUCUGCCUCGCUUGCCGCUUCUCCGGCAAGUUUGGUGAAGGGCCUCAACUCUCUUAUAGCCCUAACCGCAUGGAGUAUCUCGAAGCAUCAAAACAUCGCUCUGUUCAACGACCUUCGGCGAUCUACCGGCGAGCUCGUCCGCCCAAUCAAGGAGGAGGCUCGGCUUUGGGCAAAAGCUAGAGGUCAAGGACUAGCACUAGUUAUUCAUAAUGAAAUCAUCGAUAGGGCUCGCCCCGAAGAGAGGAUGCUGCGAACACCGGUUCGUGUACGCCCCCUCGAGAUGAAACUUAAACAUGAUACAAUGCCCACCAUCUCUAGUGUCCGGCUAAAGAAGUGGGUACACCCAGAAGUUGAAUGGGUGAAAAUGAAUGUCGAUGCUGCAAUCCCACGUAAUCAGUACAGGGUAGCCUUUGCGGCAAUUUGUCGAGAUCAUACGGGGUUGUUUUUGGGCGCCUCAGCUGUAACAGUGGAUGAUCUGUUCGAUCCAGAAACACUUGAAGCAAUGGCACGCAACGAAGGUCUGUUGUUGGCACUCGAGGUCGGUGUACAAAAGGAAAAGAAAAAAGAAAAAAAAAGAUCGAGAGAAGGAAACCCUAGCCGCCGUCGUCCAGAUCUGCUUGGCUUGGUGGAGGGUAUGGCUAUGGCGCUGCGCACCAUGGCCGCCAAGCUGAAGCAGAAGAUCCCCGCCGCUGUCCAGCGGGUUCGCGUCUCUUCUCGUGCUCCGGCACCUGCUGAUGCUGACUUCGACCGCUUCGGCUUCGGCCCAGAGUUUCGCAUAAAAGCACCGGAGAAGAUUAUAGAGCAACACAAGAAGAGGCGCAGGGACGAGGGCUUGGCCUGUGGUGCUGGCUUCAGUCUUGGAGCACUCACCUUUUUGCUUGGGGUUCUGCCGGAUCUAAUUUCGGUGGUUGCAUGUGGGGAUGUAAGAGCACUCUAUCGGGACAUUGAGUAUUUGAUCCCGAGCUCAUAUGCUCCACAUGAACAGUAA